rnacentral:lncRNA from 14 species
AGAUGUUCUUCUUCCAUUAGGAUGUUCCACUUCCAUCCCUAAGUCACUGCAGUGGCUGCUUUGGUUUUACUCAUGUGGAAGAGUAUGGAAUGCAAUGGUUCAGCCUCGAGUGAGCUUGUCACAACACUCAGAUGCUGCAGGAAGAGACCAUCAACAACAAAUCCUCCUCCUUCAGACCCAGAUUCCAGGCACAGGGAUCAGGCACCAGCCGUGUGGGCAUCAAGCCCUCAAAGGAUGCUCUGGUCUGUGAAACAUCCCAGGAUAAAGAAGUUGUGCAAACAGCUCCAAGCAGGAAUGCACGUUUUUGGACAGGGCUGGUGCCCAACCUGCCAGGAAAAACAGCCGGAUCCCGAAGGAGCAAUGUCAUUAGCUCAUUUCCCAUUGGCAUAGAGAGCAGUGCAGUGUUUGCAGGGCAGCGUGG